AUGGAGGUCCGCCGCUGGGGCUGCUCCUCGCCUGCGUUGCUACCUUCCCUCGCGCUGUUGCUCCUCUGCUUGUCCUCUGCCGCCCGCAGCGCGCGUGGCCGAGCUGCCCUGCCUUGUUCGACCACCGGAACCAUGCCAAAUCGUUGCCUCUUUGCAUCUGCGUUGUGUUGCCGUGGAUGCAUGCAACCGUGGAAUCAAUCCCAAGCGUCAAGUACCAGGACACUACGAAACCUGAAUCGCCAGGGCCGGACCCGUCAAGUACCCCUUCGGAUUCGUCAAGACCCUCAUGUACAACUACACCCGAUGAUGUGA
rnacentral:rRNA from 1 species